AACCAUAUAUGACGUUAAAACGCAGACAGUACUUAAAAUAGUUUACAUUCAAUUAAGUACUCGUACAACAUUCUGCGUUCAAGUUCUUUCCGUGAAAUUGUGUGUGGAUUUAAAAAUGUUCGGCUACUUCCGGUUGGUACACAGUUAGCCAACACCUGCUAAUUAGUAACAACUGUUGCCAAGCCGGCUUUUUAUCAGCGACUUUUUUUUCCACGUUUGUCUAUAAAUUAAAAUAGGAGAUACCGAGGAAAAAUGUCAAGUUAAUAACUAAACCUGUCGGGUUUGUCGCAGUUUUUGAGCUUGUUUUUUUAUGUUUUUUUUUAAAAUAUUUUAGACGUUUGCGGGAGAUCAGGAAACACGAGGAACUCAACUGUCAAACUCAACUUGGCGUCAACUGAAAUAAAGACACAUUAAUCUCGGAUUAUGUGAAUACUGCAGUAAAGUCCAGGUCGACGUCACGCAGAAGACAACGAUCUGUCUGCCCUGGCUGGGCUGCCUAUUGGAGGGGAGGACAUCAUCGAGCAUCAGAGAAAAUCCCUCGCAGACAGAACUGGUCAUGAGUCACCGUGGAGACGGUGAACGUCACUCAGGAUGAGACACCGCGUCCAGGAGGAAGAACGUGUGGUCAUUCUCACAACCAACUUGAUGACUCACUCACUCUUGGUCGACAACAGCCACACAGACGCAAACUGCUGAUGAGGUACAAAGGCUGUUUUUUCACUUCCUGCCCAUGGAGGGAGCCAGAGAGUGCUACGUUUUCACAGAGGUAUGGAGUUCUGUGGGAGGACACACGCCCACACAAUAAGAUGAAUGCUCACAACAUAAAAACAGCGCUGACAGAAUCAGACUCAGGCAACUGCUAAAAGCUGCACUUGAUGUGGGCUGCAUGUUAAUACCAGCCUUUUUAGACUCAGACUUUUGUUCCCUGCAGAAUUAAUGUUGACAGUACAAGCCCUCAGGCCUGUUUACACCUGAUAGAUACACACACACACACACACACACACACUGGUUUGUAUGUUUUAUGAGCACUUCACAUACACAAGAUGCAUUCCCGGGCCCUUUACUCUAAGUCGGUGGUUCUCAAACUGUGGUACGCGUACAACGCUCUUGAGUGGUACACAGGGGAAAAUUCAUAUUUUCACAUUUACACUGUUUUCAAUUGAAUAAAUCUGAAACCUACCAUGUACAAUUAAUACAACAUUUAAACAUAAACAUCUUUAUAAGCAUUUAAAUUAUUGAAAAUGAAUGAAAUUAAAUUUAUAGACAUUUUAAAUGUCUAACCCAAAUCCUUAUCUUAACUCUAACCCCAACCCCUACUCAUAACUCAAUGUUACUCAUUACUCAAAAAUACUCCCUGUCUCAGUGGGGACCUGAAAAUGUCCCCACAAUAGCACUUUUUAAAUAAAUGUCCCCACAAGUUUGUUGUACCAGAAUGGCACUCACACACAAUAGCGUUUUUAAAUAAAUGUCCCCGCAAGUAAGUUACACCAGAAAUACACACACAC